rnacentral:rRNA from 1 species
CCCUUGUAGUACUGGGACUCUAACCAUAGGCCAUGAAUCUGGUCUUGGGACACUGUCAGGUGGGCAGUUUGACUGGGGCGGUCGCCUCCCAAAAGGUAACGGAGGUGCUCAAAGGUUCUCUCAGUACGGUCGGAAAUCGUACGUAGAGUGUAAAGGCAAAAGAGAGCUUGAUUGCAAGACAUACAGGUCGAGCAAGGAUGAAAAUCGGAC